rnacentral:rRNA from 1 species
AGGGGGACCUUCGGGCGCUCGUUGCCAUCGGGAUGUGCCCAGAUGGGAGUUAGCUAGUAGGUGGGGUAACGGCUCACCUAGGCGACGAUCCCUAGCUGGUCUGAGAGGAUGACCAGCCACACUGGAACUGAGACACGGUCCAGACUCCUACGGGAGGCAGCAGUGGGGAAUAUUGCACAAUGGGCGCAAGCCUGAUGCAGCCAUGCCGCGUGUAUGAAGAAGGCCUUCGGGUUGUAAAGUACUUUCAGCGGGGAGGAAGGGAGUAAAGUUAAUACCUUUGCUCAUUGACGUUACCCGCAGAAGAAGCACCGGCUAACUCCGUGCCAGCAGCCGCGGUAAUACGGAGGGUGCAAGCGUUAAUCGGAAUUACUGGGCGUAAAGCGCACGCAGGCGGUUUGUUAAGUCAGAUGUGAAAUCCCCGGGCUCAACCUGGGAACUGCAUCUGAUACUGGCAAGCUUGAGUCUCGUAGAGGGGGGUAGAAUUCCAGGUGUAGCGGUGAAAUGCGUAGAGAUCUGGAGGAAUACCGGUGGCGAAGGCGGCCCCCUGGACGAAGACUGACGCUCAGGUGCGAAAGCGUGGGGAGCAAACAGGAUUAGA